rnacentral:rRNA from 1 species
GUUAAAAAGCUCGUAGUUGGAUUUCUGUUGAGGAUGACCGGUCCGCUCUUUGAGCGCGUAUCUGGUUCAGCCUUGGCAUCCUCUUGGGGAACGCUACUGUGCUUGAUUGCAUGGGGCGGUAUUCAAGACUUUUACUUUGAGGAAAUUAGAGUGUUCACUGCAAGCGUUAGCAAUUGAAUACAUUAGCAUGGAAUAAUAAUAUAGGACCUUGGUACUAUUUUGUUGGUUUCUAGAACUAAGGUAAUGAUUAAUAGGGACAAUUGGGGGCAUUCGUAUUAACGCGUCAGAGGUGGAAUUCUUAGAUUGCGUUACGACGAACUACUGCGAAAGCAUUUGCCAAGGAUGUUUUCAUUGAUCAAGAACGAAAGUAUGGGGAUCGAAGACGCUUAGAUACCGUCGUAGUCUAUACCAUAAACUAUGCCAACUAGAGAUUGGAGGUCGUUCUCUUUAUGACUCCUUCAGCACCUUAUGAGAAAUCAAAGUCUUUGGGUUCCGGGGGGAGUAUGGUCGCAAGGCUGAAACUUAAAGGAAUUGACGGAAGGGCACCACCAGGAGUGGAGCCUGCGGCUUAAAUUUGACUCAACACGGGAAAACUUACCAGGUCCAGACAUAGUAAGGAUUG